GCGGCCGCAGAGUUUGAUCAUGGCUCAGGACGAACGCUGGCGGCGUGCCUAAUACAUGCAAGUCGAGCGAAUCUUGAGGUGCUUGCACCUCUUGGUUAGCGGCGGACGGGUGAGUAACACGCGGGCAACCUGCCUGUAAGACUGGGAUAACACCGGGAAACCGGUGUUAAUACCGGAUAAUCCUUUCCCUCUCAUGAGGGAAAGCUGAAAGUCGGUUUACGCUGACACUUACAGAUGGGCCCCCGGCGCAUUAGCUAGUUGGUGAGGUAACGGCUCACCAAGGCGACGAUGCGUAGCCGACCUGAGAGGGUGAUCGGCCACACUGGGGCUGAGACACGGCCCAGACUCCUACGGGAGGCAGCAGUAGGGAAUCUUCCGCAAUGGACGAAAGUCUGACGGAGCAACGCCGCGUGAGCGAAGAAGGCCUUCGGGUCGUAAAGCUCUGUUGUUAGGGAAGAACAAGUACGAGAGUAACUGCUCGUACCUUGACGGUACCUAACCAGAAAGCCACGGAUAACCACGUGCCAGCAGCCGCGGUAAUACGUAGGUGGCAAGCGUUGUCC
rnacentral:rRNA from 1 species